GAAAGAUGGCUUUGGCUAUCACUCUGGGAUGGACCUGCGGUGCAUUAGCUAGUUGGUAAGGUAACGGCUUACCAAGGCGAUGAUGCAUAGCCGAGUUGAGAGACUGAUCGGCCACAAUGGAACUGAGACACGGCCCAUACUCCUACGGGAGGCAGCAGUAGGGAAUCUUCCACAAUGGGCGCAAGCCUGAUGGAGCAACACCGCGUGAGUGAAGAAGGGUUUCGGCUCGUAAAGCUCUGUUGUUGGAGAAGAACGUGCGUGAGAGUAACUGUUCACGCAGUGACGGUAUCCAACCAGAAAGUCACGGCUAACUACGUGCCAGCAGCCGCGGUAAUACGUAGGUGGCAAGCGUUAUCCGGAUUUAUUGGGCGUAAAGCGAGCGCAGGCGGUUGCUUAGGUCUGAUGUGAAAGCCUUCGGCUUAACCGAAGAAGUGCAUCGGAAACCGGGCGACUUGAGUGCAGAAGAGGACAGUGGAACUCCAUGUGUAGCGGUGGAAUGCGUAGAUAUAUGGAAGAACACCAGUGGCGAAGGCGGCUGUCUGGUCUGCAACUGACGCUGAGGCUCGAAAGCAUGGGUAGCGAACAGGAUUAGAUACCCUGGUAGUCCAUGCCGUAAACGAUGAGUGCUAGGUGUUGGAGGGUUUCCGCCCUUCA
rnacentral:rRNA from 1 species